UAUCUGGUUGAUCCUGCCAGUAGUCAUAUGCUUGUCUCAAAGAUUAAGCCAUGCAUGUCUAAGUUCAAGCGAAAAUAAAGUGAAACGCGAAUGGCUCAUUACAUCAGUUAUGGUUCCUUAGAUCGCACUUACUACUUGGAUAACUGUGGUAAUUCUAGAGCUAAUACAUGCGCUGGGCCCCAACCCUCGUGGAAGGGGCGCUUUUAUUAGAUCAAAGCCAAUCGGGUCUUCGGGCUCGUUUUGUUGGUGACUCUGAAUAACUUUGCUGAUCGCAUGGUCUCGUACCGGCGACGUAUCUUUCAAGUGUCUGCCUUAUCAACUGUCGAUGGUAGGUUAUGCGCCUACCAUGGUUGUAACGGGUAACGGGGAAUUAGGGUUCGAUUCCGGAGAGGGAGCCUGAGAAACGGCUACCACAUCCAAGGAAGGCAGCAGGCGCGCAAAUUACCCACUCCCGGCACGGGGAGGUAGUGACGAAAAAUAACGAUGCUAAACUCAUACGAGGCUUAGCAAUCGGAAUGAGUACACUUUAAAUCCUUUAACGAGGAUCUAUUGGAGGGCAAGUCUGGUGCCAGCAGCCGCGGUAAUUCCAGCUCCAAUAGCGUAUAUUAAUGUUGUUGCGGUUAAAAAGCUCGUAGUUGGAUCUCGGUUUCGGGCGGGUGGUGCACCUUGCGGUGUUUACUGUCUGCCCGGACGAUUUUGCUAGUUCGUUCAUGGUGCUCUUAACCGGGUGCCUUGAGUGGCUAGCACGUUUACUUUGAAAAAAUUGGAGUGCUCAAAGCAGGCGCUACAGCCUGAACAUUCGUGCAUGGAAUAAUGGAAUAGGACCUCGGUUCUAUUUCGUUGGCUUUCGGAGUCGAGGUAAUGAUUAAUAGGGACAGACGGGGCAUUCGUACUGCGACGUUAGAGGUGAAAUUCUUGGAUCGUCGCAAGACGAACUACUGCGAAAGCAUUUGCCAAGAAUGUUUUCAUUAAUCAAGAACGAAAGUUAGAGGUUCGAAGGCGAUCAGAUACCGCCCUAGUUCUAACCAUAAACGAUGUCGACUGGCGAUCCGUCUCCGUUAACUGAAUGACUAGACGGGCAGCCUCCGGGAAACCAAAGUGUUUGGAUUCUGGGGGAAGUAUGGUUGCAAAGCUGAAACUUAAAGGAAUUGACGGAAGGGCACCACCAGGAGUGGAGCCUGCGGCUUAAUUUGACUCAACACGGGAAAACUCACCAGGCCCGGACACCGGAAGGAUUGACAGAUUGAGAGCUCUUUCUUGAUUCGGUGGGUGGUGGUGCAUGGCCGUUCUUAGUUGGUGGAGCGAUUUGUCUGGUUAAUUCCGAUAACGAACGAGACUCUGGCCUACUAACUAGACGUUGGAUCCCUUGUGGGUCCUUCGCAGCUUCUUAGAGGGACGGGCGGCGUUUAGCCGCACGAGAUAGAGCAAUAACAGGUCUGUGAUGCCCUUAGAUGUUCUGGGCUGCACGCGCGCUACACUGAAGGACUCAGCAUGUGUUCCCUGUCCGAAAGGAUCGGGAAACCCUCUGAACCUCCUUCGUGAUGGGGAUUGGGGAUUGCAAUUAUUCCCCAUGAACGAGGAAUUCCUAGUAGGCGUGAGUCAUCAGCUUGCGUCGAUUACGUCCCUGCCCUUUGUACACCGCCCGUCGCUACUACCGAUCGAGUGAUUUAGUGAGGCCUUUGGACUGGUCUUCGUUAUGGCUUUCGGGUCGUGCCGGAGUACCGGGAAGAUGACCAAACUUGAUUACUUAGAGGAAGUAAAAGUCGUAACAAGGUUUCCGUAGGUGAACCUGCGGAAGGAUCAUUA
rfam:Orchesella cincta Ocin01_Sc4448, whole genome shotgun sequence.